rnacentral:rRNA from 1 species
GACGAACGCUGGCGGCGUGCUUAACACAUGCAAGUCGAACGGAACCUCCCUGCUUUUUUGGGCUCCUCUACUUGCCAACGGGUGACUUACCCUUGAGUUCCCUGUCCCUGCCUUUGGGAUAACCUCAUGCCACUUGGGCUAUUACCGGCUAGGAUCUCCCGCCUCUUGGUGGGCGUUGGUUAGUUUCGGCGGUUGGGGAUGUACUCGCGGCUCAUCAGAUUGUUGGGGGGGUAGUGGCUUACCAAGGCUUUGCCGGGUGGCCGGCCUGAGAGGGGGACCGGCCACAUUGGGACUGAGAUACGGCCCAGACUCCUACGGGAGGCAGCAGUGGGGAAUAGUGCACAAUGGGAGGAAGCCUGGUGCAGCAACGCCGCGUGCGGGAUGACGGCCUUCGGGUUGUAAACCGCUUUCGCCUGUGACGAAGCGUGAGUGACGGUAAUGGGUAAAGAAGCACCGGCUAACUACGUG